GACGAACGCUGGCGGCGUGCCUAAUACAUGCAAGUCGAACGAGAGCACCCGGUGCUUGCACUGGUCAAUCUAGUGGCGAACGGGUGAGUAACACGUGGGUAACCUGCCCAUCAGAGGGGGAUAACAUCCGGAAACGGAUGCUAAAACCGCAUAGGUCUUCGAACCGCAUGGUUUGAAGAGGAAAAGAGGCGCAAGCUUCUGCUGAUGGAUGGACCCGCGGUGCAUUAGCUAGUUGGUGAGGUAACGGCUCACCAAGGCCGUGAUGCAUAGCCGACCUGAGAGGGUGAUCGGCCACAUUGGGACUGAGACACGGCCCAAACUCCUACGGGAGGCAGCAGUAGGGAAUCUUCCGCAAUGGACGCAAGUCUGACGGAGCAACGCCGUGUGAGUGAAGAAGGUUUUCGGAUCGUAAAACUCUGUUGUUAGAGAAGAACAAGUGCUAGAGUAACUGUUAGCGCCUUGACGGUAUCUAACCAGAAAGCCACGGCUAACUACGUG
rnacentral:rRNA from 1 species